rnacentral:tRNA from 1 species
GGGCCAGUCGUCUAGGGAAACCGGGCAAGCCGAUUCGGACAACCUGGUUAGGACAACACCCUUACGCGGUGUGGGUCGUCGGUUCAAAUCCGGCCUGGCCCA